AAAAAAUAAAAAUAAAAAAAACCCUAAACUAACACUUCAACUCACACUACCUUCAGACUUGGAGCAUAUCAGGUAUUUAUUCCUUCCUUUCUCUCCUCCUCUCCUCUACUCUUCUUCAAUACUUCUUCUCCCCUCUCACCUGCCCAUUCAGUCAUGCCAUUUUUUCUCCUCUCUUACUUCUUUUCCUGCGUUUUCUUUUUUUUUUUUUUCAGUUUUUAUACUUUAUUUUGUAAUGAUGGGUCUGGAGAAUUGUACAUGGGGGGAGAUUAGAGAAGCCAAUUGUGCAAUUCUCAUCUUGAAAUGGUUUUGCAAUGGCAGAAUGGUAGAACUUAGAAGUGUGUUUCUC
rnacentral:misc_RNA from 1 species